AGCCAUCAGUGAGUGCCGGGCAGCUGACAGUGGACCUGGUAAUUACCUGUGAGAAGUUGGUCCUUGGAUGUAAGGCAAGUCUUGCUCAGCUCAGUGACAUUGCACUGAAGAAUGAGGCUUGUCCCUUGUUUGCUUGUGUCUCAUACUCCAUAAAUCAGGAACUUGAGAAGCUGCUUCCAGUCUUGUCUCAGGUGGGCACCACCCAGCCCCUCUGACCACAGCAGCAAAGACCAGUGCCAUGUCUUGCCUGCCCAGUGCCUUGCUGUCAUGCAGACCCACUCAUAGAAGUGAGUGCCUUGGCCUUUACAUGUGUGACUCUAGCUGUGUAUGCCUUUGCCAGUCUGUCAUAUCUCUAAAUACAUUCAGUUAUCAAUAUAUCUGUCUGUCAUAUCUUUAAAUACAUUCAGUUAUCAAUAUAUCUGUCUGUCAUAUCUUUAAAUACAUUCAGUUAUCAAUAUAUCUGUCUGUCAUAUCUCUAAAUACUUUCAGUUAUCAAUAUAUCUGUCUGUCAUAUCUCUAAAUACAUUCAGUUAUCAAUAUAUCUGUCUGUCAUAUCUCUAAAUACAUUCAAUUAUCAAUAUAUCUGUCUGUCAUAUCUCUAAAUACAUUCAGUUAUCAAUAUAUCUGUCUGU